rnacentral:misc_RNA from 1 species
UAAAGAUUCAAAAAAAAUAAAAAUGGGGAAUGUUAAUGGAAGAGAAGAAAACGAGGGCAAUAUCCCAUCUGGGGUUGAAGGGGUUGAUGGGAUUGAUUCUGGUGGGGUCCAAGAUAUCAUGGCCGUUCAUCAGGUUGAUGGAGAGUUUAUGGGUCAAUCUCCACCGUCCAGUCCUAGGGCAUCUCGUUCACCUUUGAUGUUUAGACCUGAGAUGCCAGUGGUUCCUCUACAGAGACCUGAUGAGGGGCAUGGCCCAAGCAUUUCAUGGUCACAAACCACCUCAGGUUAUGAGGAACCUUGUGACGAGCAAGGAGUUCCAACACUUAUAUCUUGGACUCUUGAUGGCAAAGAAGUUGCUGUGGAGGGAUCAUGGGAUAAUUGGAAGUCAAGGAUGCCUCUGCAAAAAUCAGGGAAGGAUUUCACCAUUUUGAAGGUGCUUCCUUCAGGGGUAUACCAAUAUAGGUUUAUAGUUGACGGACAAUGGAGGUGUUCCCCUGACUUGCCAUGUGUUCAGGAUGAAGCAGGGAAUACUUACAACCUUUUAGACAUGAAGGAUUACGUUCCAGAAGACAUCGAAAGCAUUUCUGGUUUCGAACCUCCUCAGUCCCCUGAUUCCAGCUACAACAACUUGCACCUUGUAUCCGAGGACUACGCUAAGGAGCCACCCGUGGUCCCACCCCAUCUACAGAUGACUUUGCUGAACGUUUCUCCAUCUCACAUGGAAAUUCCACCUCCGCUUUCAAGACCUCAGCACGUGGUACUUAACCAUCUCUACAUGCAGAAAGAUAGGAGUACCCCUUCUGUGGUUGCACUCGGUUCAACUAACCGGUUCCUGUCCAAAUACGUUACUGUGGUUCUUUACAAGUCAAUACAGAGGUGAAGAUUUCGAUCAACUUGUCUUUACAAUAGUCUUAAAUAACUCGAGUACUCGUAGCUCAAUAUUAGAAGUCAAGUUGGUUCAUGUUUUCUGCAGUUAAAAGGCCAAAAAGAGAAGAAGAACAAUAGAGGUAAUGUUUAGAAGUUUAUAUUGUAGCAAAGCUUGAUUGUCACUUCAUUUACUUUUCCAUCUCUCAUUUGCCCCUUUUUUCUUCUUUUAACAUACAAUUUGAUCAAUUCCAA